UAGGGAAUCUUCGGCAAUGGGGGGAACCCUGACCGAGCAACGCCGCGUGAGUGAAGAAGGUUUUCGGAUCGUAAAGCUCUGUUGUUAAGGAAGAACGAGUGUGAGAAUGGAAAGUUCAUGCUGUGACGGUACUUAACCAGAAAGGGACGGCUAACUACGUGCCAGCAGCCGCGGUAAUACGUAGGUCCCGAGCGUUGUCCGGAUUUAUUGGGCGUAAAGCGAGCGCAGGCGGUUAGAAAAGUCUGAAGUGAAAGGCAGUGGCUCAACCAUUGUAGGCUUUGAAAACUGUUUAACUUGAGUGCAGAAAGGGAGAGUGGAAUUCCAUGUGUAGCGGUGAAAUGCGUAGAUAUAUGGAGGAACACCGGUGGCGAAAGCGGCUCUCUGGUCUGUAACUGACGCUGAGGCUCGAAAGCGUGGGGAGCGAACAGG
rnacentral:rRNA from 1 species